GCCUACGGGGGGCAGCAGUAGGGAAUCUUCCACAAUGGGCGAAAGCAUGAUGGAGCAACGCCGCGUGGGUGAAGAAGGUCUUCGGAUCGUAAACCCUGUUGUUAGAGAAGAAAGUGCGUGAGAGUAACUGUUCACGUUUCGACGGUAUCUAACCAGAAAGCCACGGCUAACUACGUGCCAGCAGCCGCGGUAAUACGUAGGUGGCAAGCGUUAUCCGGAUUUAUUGGGCGUAAAGGGAACGCAGGCGGUCUUUUAAGCCUGAUGUGAAAGCCUUCGGCUAAACCGGAGUAGUGCAUUGGGAAAUG
rnacentral:rRNA from 1 species